rnacentral:rRNA from 1 species
GACGAACGCUGGCGGCGUGCUUAACACAUGCAAGUCGAGCGGUAAGGCCUUUCGGGGUACACGAGCGGCGAACGGGUGAGUAACACGUGGGUGAUCUGCCCUGCACUUCGGGAUAAGCCUGGGAAACUGGGUCUAAUACCGGAUAUGACCUCCUAUCGCAUGGUGGGUGGUGGAAAGAUUUAUCGGUGCAGGAUGGGCCCGCGGCCUAUCAGCUUGUUGGUGGGGUAAUGGCCUACCAAGGCGACGACGGGUAGCCGACCUGAGAGGGUGACCGGCCACACUGGGACUGAGACACGGCCCAGACUCCUACGGGAGGCAGCAGUGGGGAAUAUUGCACAAUGGGCGCAAGCCUGAUGCAGCGACGCCGCGUGAGGGAUGACGGCCUGGUGUAA